UGGGGGAUAUUGCACAAUGGUCGAAAGCCUGAUGCAGCUACGCCGCGUGGGGUAUGAAGGCCUUCGGGUUGUAAACUUCUUUUGCUCUGAACUAGGCAUGCCUUUGGGGUGUGUUGCGUGUUGGGGUUGAUUAGCGCCGGCUAACUACGUGCCAGCAGCCGCGGUAAUACGUAGGGCGCGAGCGUUUUCCGUAAUUAUUUGGCGUAAUGUGCUUGUAGGUGGCUGGUUGCGUCUGUCUUGAAAGCUCAUGGCUUAACUGUGGGUUUGCGGAGGGUACGGGGUGGGUUGAGUGCAGUAGGGGAGGCUGGAAUUCCUGGUGGAGAGGUGGAAUGCGCAGAUAUCAGGAGGAAUACAGGUGGGGAAGGAGGGUCUCUGGGCUGUUACUGACGCUGAGGAGCGAAAGAGUGGGGAGAGAAAAGG
rnacentral:rRNA from 1 species